rnacentral:rRNA from 1 species
GACGAACGCUGGCGGCGUGCUUAACACAUGCAAGUCGAACGGAAAGGCCCUGCUUUUGUGGGGUGCUCGAGUGGCGAACGGGUGAGUAACACGUGAGUAACCUGCCCUUGACUUUGGGAUAACUUCAGGAAACUGGGGCUAAUACCGGAUAGGAGCUCCUGCUGCAUGGUGGGGGUUGGAAAGUUUCAGAGGAUGGGGAUAGACUCGCGGCUUAUCAGCUUGUUGGUGGGGUAGUGGCUUACCAAGGCUUUGACGGGUAGCCGGUCUGAUGGGGUGGCCCGGGCACAUGGGCACGGAGACACGGGCCCAACUCCGACGGGAGGCAGCAGUAGGGAAGUGUGCGCAAUGGGCGAAAGCCUGACGCAGCGACGCCGCGUGCGGGAUGAAGGCCUGCGGGUCGGAAACAGCUUUGAUAAGGGACGAACUUGGACGGUACCUUAGGAAUAAGAGGGUGAUAACUCGGUG